rnacentral:rRNA from 1 species
UACGAAGGGGGCUAGCGUUGUUCGGAAUCACUGGGCGUAAAGGGCGCGUAGGCGGCUUUAUAAGUCGGGGGUGAAAGCCUGUGGCUCAACCACAGAAUUGCCUUCGAUACUGUAGAGCUUGAGACCGGAAGAGGUAAGUGGAACUGCGAGUGUAGAGGUGAAAUUCGUAGAUAUUCGCAAGAACACCAGUGGCGAAGGCGGCUUACUGGUCCGGUUCUGACGCUGAGGCGCGAAAAGCGUGGGGGAGCAAACAGG